GGCUGCGUAACACGUUGGUACCUGCCCCGUACUCAGGGAUAACACAUCGAAAGGUGUGCUAAUACCGGAUAGUCCCACGCGCAAGCGUGGGUAAAGCUUUCGCGGUACGGGAGGGGCCUGCGGCCUAUCAGCUAGUUGGUAAGGUAAAGGCUUACCAAGGCUAUGACGGGUAGCUGAUCUGAGAGGAUGAUCAGCCAGAAUGGGACUGAGACAAGGCCCAUACUCC
rnacentral:rRNA from 1 species